rnacentral:rRNA from 1 species
GACGAACGCUUGCGGCGUGCUUAACACAUGCAAGUCGAACGGAAAGGCCCUGCUUUUGUGGGGUGCUCGAGUGGCGAACGGGUGAGUAACACGUGAGUAACCUGCCCUUGACUUUGGGAUAACUUCAGGAAACUGGGGCUAAUACCGGAUAGGAGCUCCUGCUGCAUGGUGGGGGUUGGAAAGUUUCGGCGGUUGGGGAUGGACUCGCGGCUUAUCAGCUUGUUGGUGGGGUAGUGGCUUACCAAGGCUUUGACGGGUAGCCGGCCUGAGAGGGUGACCGGCCACAUUGGGACUGAGAUACGGCCCAGACUCCUACGGGAGGCAACAGUGGGGAAUAUUGCACAAUGGGCGGAAGCCUGAUGCAGCAACGCCGCGUGCGGGAUGACGGCCUUCGGGUUGUAAACCGCUUUCGCCUGUGACGAAGCGUGAGUGACGGUAAUGGGUAAAGAAGCACCGGCUAACUACGUGCCAGCAGCCGCGGUGAUACGUAGGGUGCGAGCGUUGUCCGGAUUUAUUGGGCGUAAAGGGCUCGUAGGUGGUUGAUCGCGUCGGAAGUGUAAUCUUGGGGCUUAACCCUGAGCGUGCUUUCGAUACGGGUUGACUUGAGGAAGGUAGGGGAGAAUGGAAUUCCUGGUGGAGCGGUGGAAUGCGCAGAUAUCAGGAGGAACACCAGUGGCGAAGGCGGUUCUCUGGGCCUUUCCUGACGCUGAGGAGCGAAAGCGUGGGGAGCGAACAGGCUUAGAUACCCUGGUAGUCCACGCUGUAAACGGUGGGUACUAGGUGUGGGGUCCAUUCCACGGGUUCCGUGCCGUAGCUAACGCUUUAAGUACCCCGCCUGGGGAGUACGGCCGCAAGGCUAAAACUCAAAGGAAUUGACGGGGCCCCGCACAAGCGGCGGAGCAUGCGGAUUAAUUCGAUGCAACGCGUAGAACCUUACCUGGGUUUGACAUGGAUCGGGAGUGCUCAGAGAUGGGUGUGCCUCUUUUGGGGUCGGUUCACAGGUGGUGCAUGGCUGUCGUCAGCUCGUGUCGUGAGAUGUUGGGUUAAGUCCCGCAACGAGCGCAACCCUUGUUCACUGUUGCCAGCACGUUAUGGUGGGGACUCAGUGGAGACCGCCGGGGUCAACUCGGAGGAAGGUGGGGAUGACGUCAAGUCAUCAUGCCCCUUAUGUCCAGGGCUUCACGCAUGCUACAAUGGCUGGUACAGAGAGUGGCGAGCCUGUGAGGGUGAGCGAAUCUCGGAAAGCCGGUCUCAGUUCGGAUUGGGGUCUGCAACUCGACCUCAUGAAGUCGGAGUCGCUAGUAAUCGCAGAUCAGCAACGCUGCGGUGAAUACGUUCCCGGG